CAAGAGGUAUUUUUCCCGUUACGCUUGACGAGCGGGUUGAGAGAAUACUGCCUGGUCAUCGACGGCGACUGGGAGGCAAGGGGCGAGGGCACAGGGAACCCCCGCCGCGGUGUGUUUGCUCUCAGGAGGGGAAGCAACUAUCUUGUUUUGUACCUGCUGGUGAUUGGCUGGCUGCUGGCGCCACCCAGGCCUCUGAUUGGUCCCCGCCGCUGUGACGUCUGCGGCGCCGGAAAAUAAAAGAGGGAAAUGAGAAAGAGAAAGAGAGAGAAAGAGAGAGAGAGAAAGAAGGAAAAAAGAGAAGAAUAAUUUACGAAGG